rnacentral:rRNA from 1 species
GAUGAACGCUAGCGGCAGGCUUAACACAUGCAAGUCGAGGGGUAGAGGUUGCUUGCAACCUUGAGACCGGCGCACGGGUGCGUAACGCGUAUGCAACCUACCUUUUACAGAGGGAUAGCCCAGAGAAAUUUGGAUUAAUACCUCAUAAUAUAUAACCUUCGCAUGUUGGUUAUAUUAAAGUUCCAACGGUAAAAGAUGGGCAUGCGUCCUAUUAGCUAGAUGGUAAGGUAACGGCAUACCAUGGCAACGAUAGGUAGGGGUCCUGAGAGGGAGGUACCCCACAGUGGUACUGAGACACGGACCAGACUCCUACGGGAGGCAGCAGUGAGGAAUAAUGGGCAAGGGGCGCAAGCCUGAUCCAGCCAUGCCGCGUGCAGGAAGAAGCAUCUAUGGUGUGUAAACUGCUUUUGUACAGGAAGAAACACCCCGACGUGUCGGGACUUGACGGUACUGUAAGAAUAAGGAUCGGCUAACUCCGUGCCAGCCGCCGCGGUAAAAC